rnacentral:tRNA from 1 species
GGGUAGUUAGUCCAAACAAGACAUUUGAUUUCGGCUCAAAAGACUGAGGUUAUAAUCCUCAACCACCCU